GGUAAGGCGCGCAGUGUUUUGUUAGUAAUUGUGACUUUGAAAUAAAUUAAGUCUCCGAUUUGUGUUUAAUUUUAUAGUGUCGAAAUGUAUAAAUAUUGUAUGGUGCCGAAAUGUAUAAGCACAACUAUUAAAACGCCAGAAAAACUGUUUUUUUGCGUGCCUAAAGACCCAAAACUUCGCAAGAAAUGGUAUUCUCUCGCAAAAAGAGAUGUUAGAAUUCCACCCAAUUCCCAGACUACAAGAUAUUGCUGUGAAGAUCAUUUCGAUUUGGAAGAAGAUAUGGAAAAUUACGUAAAGUUUAAGUUGGUUGGAGGAAGGCUUAAACUGAAGAAGGGAGUUUUGCCUCAUAAGUUUGAAUGUCAGAAGCCUCAAAAAAAGAAAAUUAUAAGAACCGGUUUCAAAAAACGACAGGACAUAGAAUAUUUGGAAAGACUUUUAAGUAGAGAUAUUGGACACGAAGACCUGUCAUUACACCCCAUUGAAGAAGUAAAGUGUGAACCAGACAUAAAUAUAAAUAUCCAAAACAGUGAUCCUCUUAUCACACCUGAAGAAAUAGAGGAAUUAUCGAAAAACAAUGAAAGGGGUCAAAAAUCACAAGCAGUGCAGGUGCAUCCAAAAAUGAAAAAUAAAUCUACUAAUACGCCAAUCAAAUGGAAACAGCCAAUAGAAAAAAAAAGUAAUUCGUAAAAAUCUUGAUCUAAACGUUUCCUUUACGAUCAGCAACUCAAACUCAAAUUAAUUAUUAGUUCUUUUGGUGUUAAUGUUGAUAUCGAGUCGACUGAUUUAGAAAUAAUAAAAAUAAUUAACAAUAACGUUUUCAAUGAGCAUAUGCAAAAAGGCGCUCUAAUGGCUAUAUCUCGAGAUCCAAAAUUACUGAUAGGCCUUCCUGCUCAUUCGUACAUUUGUAUUAAACAUUUACAGAACUUUACGGUAUUAUCAUCUAUUGAAAUCCUAGUGACUACGAAAAAUCCGAUGGCAUGACCCAAACUUAAUGCUUGCAAUACAUUUUGGCAUCUCUGUUUUAAUAUUUUAAUAAAAUUCUCCCAAAAGUUGCACUAUGCCUGAAUUUUCUUAUUAUCUGGCCAUCAGCAGAUGAUGUCAGGGAAAACUUGCCGAUAGCUUUUAGGAAGCACUAUUCUAAAGCGAUUUUAAUAAUCGAUUGUUUCGAAAUUCAAAUCUAGAAACCUAGCAACGCUUCGCACCAAGCGGCUACAUGGUCUCAAUAUAAAAGUUGCAAUACGAUUAAGUACCUACUUGAUUUCAAUAACACCUGACAGUUUGAUAAACUUUAUCUCUGAGGGAUAUGAAGGGACGACCCCAGACUCAAUAAUAUUUGAAGACAGCGGAUUUCUUGACAAAUUGCCACAAGGAAGCAUUGUGUUAGCUGACAGGGGUUUCAAAAAUAUUUCCCAUUGGAGCAACGUGGUUUGUACACUCCUGAGGCCGCCUAGUGUGAGUUCCAACUCAAAACCUGCAGCAGAUGAAGUCUUGUAAACAAAGAGAAUUGCUGUUAUUAAGACUUCACGUUGAAAGAAGCGUAGGGAAGUUGAGAGACUUUAAAAUGAUCGGACCUCACGCAUGUGUCGAUAUUUCAUGCACACAGAUUGGGAUAAUAUUGUAACAAUAGCCUGUGAUUUAGAUAAUUUACAGAAUCGUCUAUUUAGUAAUCAAGUUUAAGAAUAAAAAUGCUUUCUUUUA